GUCUUUGCAAUGCCUCAAAGUGGUACUGGUGUUAGUGUUGAAGCUGUCGAUCAUGUGUUUCAGACUAACAUGCUUGAUAUGCUCAAACAGACUGGAAGGCCAGAGAUGGUUGUUGGGUGGUACCAUUCCCAUCCUGGAUUUGGCUGUUGGUUAUCUGGCGUUGAUAUAAACACACAACAGAGUUUUGAAGCUCUGAAUCAACGGGCUGUGGCAGUUGUGGUGGAUCCAAUUCAGAG
rnacentral:misc_RNA from 1 species